GAAGGGUGGUCGGAUUGGCAGAGGAUGAUGGCGUCUCAGGAGACGUACGAUGGAGAUUGGACGGCUGGCAGCGCCCGCUUCGCGGGGGUUUAGGUGAGCACGCUCUUCCGGGCGGGUGGCCGGGUGGGUCCCGCCAUCAUGUUGGGCUCCGGCGGUGGUCAUCGCCUCGCCGCAUGUCAUGGUGGCCUGGUGGGACCAAAAUUACGUGUACGCCCCUGUCUUACCCGAAUCCGAGCUCUCCUGCCUACGCCCACAACAUUGCGUUGUUGACGUUGGUCUCGAGUGGGGCCUACCAGCACGUGGGAGGUGAGCGUGCAUUAUGUCGUUGCUUAUCCAUCCACCUACACAUGCGAAUGCACGCGCUCACACACGCAAUACCUAUUCCUAUGACCCCAACCUCGAUGGUUUACACCCACACACACGGUAGGCAACGCAUCAAGGGUCCCACGUGGGGCACACCCGAUAAACUUCGCUUCUUCUGAAGGUAAGCAGUUUGGUAAGGACGCAACAAGAAACAAUAAACGUGCCCGACUUCCCACCCUAGCUGAUAAGAUCACCGCCCCUUCAGAGAAAUAUUUCGGUGGCCCGUUCGUGUUUGUCUCUUAUCGUGCGCCGAAAACCGUGGGCUGGAGGAGAGAGAGAGAGAAAGAGAGAGGAAAGUGAUCGCGGAGAUGUUCGAGCUGUUCGUCCUGGGGUGCACCGGCGUGGUGGUCUUCAUCCACGGCGCCAACUUCUUCUUCCGCGCCCUCUCCCAUCGCCUCACCGCCCGACCCCUCAGCUUCUUGGGAAUCGCUGGGUGGUGAAAGGGCUUCGAACGCGGAUGGAAUCGUGGGAACUCCUCAUCCAUGCGGAAGAUAAUUAUUGAUUGAUUAAGGCGAAGCAUGUAAUCUAUGUAUAUAUUCUGACGAUUUAUAUGAAUUAAAGACGAUCAAUUUGGCUUUACUCUUAA